rnacentral:tRNA from 1 species
GUUUUUGUAGUGAAAAAAUCACAUUAUCUUUUCGAGAUAAAGUUUGCAAUUCUUGCUCAAAAAUA